rnacentral:misc_RNA from 1 species
GAAAUGCGAUAAGUAAUAUGAAUUGCAGAUUUUCGUGAAUCAUCGAAUCUUUGAACGCACAUUGCACCCUCUGGUAUUCCAGAGGGUAUGCCUGUUUGAGCGUCAUUUCUCUCUCAAACCGCAAGGUUUGGUAUUGAGUGAUACUCUUAGUUUUGAACUGGGCGUUUUCUUGAAAUUUAUUGGCACGAGUGAUGCUGAAGCAUUAUCUCUGAAUAUCAAUGUAUUAGGUUUAUCCAACUCGUUGUGUUUUAGAGGUAUUUCUCCAGUGUUAGGCUUUGCCUUAUAAACAACAAACAACGUUUGACCUCAAAUCAGGUAGGAUUACCCGCUGAACUUAA